GCAUUUCUUCAGCCAAAGACUUCAAUUGUAUCUUUGACGCAGCUUCCAGGCUUACAAGAUCUACAUGAAAGUCUAAAAGUGAUGGUGACUUGGAAGCAAGAACCUUACAAAGAUAAUGCAUGAGUGUCAUCUUGUUGUUAGUAGCACGAGUAUCAGUGAGCUUCAAAAGACUGUCCAACUUAAAUCCAAUGGCAGAACCUCUGGCAGUUCCCUGGUUCAAUGCAUUCCCUAGAUACAAUAUUUUCUUCAAUAUUUCCUUCAAUUUAAGAGAAUGUCGGACCUCUUCACAAGCAGAGUUCACUGUGUUCAAGCUUUUUUUGAAGUCCGUGACCUGAGAGUUGAACUGGAUCUUGAAGAGAAAAACUCUUAGUUUUGACUCUACUCGGGGCACCUUCAUGAGCUCCAGAAAAAACUGUUCACACUUUCCCAGAAGAUCCUGGUCACCUGUGUAAUUCUUGAGAAGUUCCAUCUCAUCUUUGGUAGGACAAAACUUGAUAAGAUUCUCCACCUGAUCAGCAUCUAAAAUUGACUCAUCCAUUGCAAGGGCAGCGGCCAUCAUGUCAGGCAGUGGCAUUUUCACCUUUGUGAGCAUAAUUUCAGUAUUAUUUGCCCUCCUCAAGUCAACCAGGUGAACCCUGUCAGGUUUAGACCCAACAGACUUCCUUCUCCCUCCAGAUUUACCCGCAUUAUCUGACUUGGGGACUGUAGCAGAGAAAAGAGUCUCAAGUUCUGAAAAAUCGAAUUCUGGUGACAAUUGAGUCUCUCCGUUUCUUUGUAGUUCAUCCCAUAAGCUUCCUUGAAGUGCCCUAGUUACCUUGCUCCAAUGCAACGGCUUCAAGUUAGAUCUUCGUGGGGCUACACCACCAGCUGCGCGUGAAAAUCCUUGCCCUCUCCCAGCAGGAAGGCCUCUGCCAACUGCAGGUCCUUUAGAACCAAAAGGUGGUGGUGGUGGUGGUCCACCACCAGGAGGUCUUGGAGCUCCCGGUGGAGGAGGUGGACCAGGUGCGCGUCCUCCCGGAGGGGGUGGGGGAGGUGGACCAGGUGCACGACCUCCAGGAGGAGGAGGGGGCGGUGGAGCUCCACGUAUUGGAGGAGGUGGUGGAGG
rnacentral:misc_RNA from 1 species